rnacentral:rRNA from 1 species
CAGCAGUGGGGGAUAUUGCACAAUGGGGGGAACCCUGAUGCAGCGACGCCGCGUGGGUGAAGAAGCGCCUCGGCGCGUAAAGCCCUGUCAGCAGGGAAGAAAAUGACGGUACCUGAAGAAGAAGCCCCGGCUAACUACGUGCC